rnacentral:tRNA from 1 species
GGUGUUUUGGCAGAGCAGGUCUAUGCACCGGAAUGAAAAUCCGGCAAAGAAGGUUCGAUUCCUUCAGGCACCG